rnacentral:rRNA from 1 species
AUGCCGAUUUUUGGGGGAGUGCGACACGCAGUCGACUUCGUGUACCAUUUCAUCACGCUUUCCUCAGACGAAGAACAACUAGACACAAUCUGGAUUAAUAGCCCCCGCCCAUUUUCCCUAUCGAGAUUAGCCUACGGAUCAUCCGAGACACCAUCAGAGGAGAUGGAGUUGUCCAUCCGUUGUGCUUCAAUCUUGCCGUGUGUAAGAUUACUACCGACACAGUGGAGAGGAGCGCAGGCACCAGCUCUGUUGGAAAGACACAUUUUUUCAAUUUGGGACUCCAUGAGCAAGCACGGGCGCUAA